rnacentral:rRNA from 1 species
GAUCAGUGGCUACGAGGACGAACGCUGGGCGGCGUGCCUAACACAUGCAAGUCGAACGGAGUCAGAAAGCUGCUUUUGACUUAGUGGCGGACGGGUGAGUAACGCGUGAGUAACCUGCCUCUGAGAGGGGAAUAACGUUCUGAAAAGAACGCUAAUACCGCAUAACGUAUUGAAGCCGCAUGACUUUGAUACCAAAGAUUUUAUCGCUCGGAGAUGGACUCGCGUCCGAUUAGUUAGUUGGUGAGGUAACGGCUCACCAAGACCGCGAUCGGUAGCCGGACUGAGAGGUUGAUCGGCCACAUUGGGACUGAGACACGGCCCAGACUCCUACGGGAGGCAGCAGGUGGGGGAUAUUGCGCAAUGGGGGCAACCCUGACGCCAGCAACGCCGCGUGAAGGAUGAAGGUUUUCGGAUUGUAAACUUCUUUUAUCAGGGACGAAAUCUGACGGUACCUGAUGAAUAAGCUCCGGCUAACUACGUGCCAGCCGCAGC